GCCGAAGUGGCGGAACUGGUAGACGCGCUAGGUUCAGGGUCUAGUGGCUGUACGGCUGUCGGGGUUCGAGUCCCCGCUUCGGCA
rnacentral:tRNA from 1 species